rnacentral:lncRNA from 1 species
CUCAAAGGUUGCUUCCAGCUGGAACAGUCCUUACGUUGUGAAAUGGUGAUGAUCUUGAGAGCCCUGUGAUGUCACCACCAGCACAGAGCCACACCUCACCCAGAGGACAGCCUAUUGACCCAGGGGAAUGGCUGGCUUAGGAGGCCUCUGUCAGCCUCAUUUCUGAUGCUCCCGACUCUAGGUUUCACUGCUUGGUAGAAAGCUUAUAGGAAGAAAUGUCUGGAAACAGCUGAUUGGCUCAGGAUGAUCACGUUGUUUUGUGUAGUCCACACUGGGAUCAAUGCCACUGUCCAGGGCUGGCAGUGGCCUGUGGCUGCUCUGGGAAAGCUUUUCUUCAGGUUAAAGAAGAGAACUUAAGGGAACUGAACUCCUUAGAACCCAGAUCUCCACCCUCCCCCAAGCCCACACUGCUGCAUCCAUCCUUCAACCUCUUUGUUGAGCAUCUCCAUGGCUGAGAGUCAUUCAUUUUCUCUCUGGGCAGUCACCCUCCUCCCAACCCAUUUUGUGUCAUCCUUCUAAAGAUUAGUUGUAAUGGUGUCAUUGACUUAGCCCCCAGCUUUACAGCGGUGUGAGGAUGCUCUAGAAACAGCUUGUGCGAAACCAUGGAGCCACAAGAGAAUAUGUGUGCUGCCAGAAUGAGAGCCUGUCAGCGGAGCUCUGCAGAAGGGGUAGUGAGGUCACUGGGGAAGGAAGGGAGAAGGAAGGAGGAGGCUUGAAAGGGGUGGGUUGUGGAAAGGCUGGAGUGAGUUGUGGACCGUCUAGGCUUUGGGUCUUAGUAAGGAAGAGAGAAAGUAAGGUGACCUACAGCAGCCUCCACGUCAGGCUUGCUGGGCCAGAUGGGAAGAUUUAGAAAACACCCGAGGUGGGCAUCUUUAUAAACCUCUAGGGUCUGACAUGCUACUGGAGUCCUG